UGCGCCGAAAAUGUAACGGGGCUCAAACAUAGUACCGAAGCUAGGGAAUUAUAGAGUUAAUCUAUAAUUGGUAGGAGAGCGUUCUUUAAGCCGUUGAAGGUUCGCCGUAAGGCGGGCUGGAGGUAUAAGAAGUGAGGAUGCAGGCAUGAGUAACGAGAAAACGGGUGAGAAACCCGUUCGCCGCAAACCCAAGGUUUCCUAGGUAAAGCUAAUCUGCCUAGGGUUAGUCGACCCCUAAGAUGAGGCUGAAAAGCGUAGUCGAUGGGAAACAGGUAAAUAUUCCUGUACUAUGAUAUGUUUCGAUGGAAUGACACAGAUUGUUUACGUACGCGUUAGAUUGGUAGAUAACGUCAAACAGUUUAGACUUGUGAUGAGUAAAAUGCUUGUUGCUUUAAGGUUGAGGCUGGAUAGUGACUGGGCUUUCGGGUUCAGGAAGUUGCGUGAGCUAGGCUGUCGAGAAAUAAUUUCUAAGGUUAGGCAUGUCAUAAUCGUACCGCAAACCGACACAGUUGGGUGA
rnacentral:rRNA from 1 species